rnacentral:rRNA from 1 species
UGGGGAAUAUUGCACAAUGGGGGAAACCCUGAUGCAGCGACGCCGCGUGAACGAAGAAGGUAUUCGUAUCGUAAAGUUCUGUCCUAUGGGAAUAUAAUGACAGUACCAUAGAAGAAAGCUCCGGCUAAAUACGUGCCAGCAGCCGCGGUAAUACGUAUGGAGCGAGCGUUGUCCGGAAUUAUUGGGCGUAAAGGGUACGCAGGCGGUUUAAUAAGUCGAAUGUUAAAGAUCGGGGCUCAACCCCGUAAAGCAUUGGAAACUGAUAAACUUGAGUAGUGGAGAGGAAAGUGGAAUUCCUAGUGUAGUGGUGAAAUACGUAGAUAUUAGGAGGAAUACCAGUAGCGAAGGCGACUUUCUGGACACAAACUGACGCUGAGGUACGAAAGCGUGGGGAGCAAACAGG